rnacentral:tRNA from 2 species
ACGGGCAUGGUGCAAUGGUAGCAUGCGGGUCUCCAAAACCUUCGAUCUGGGUUCGAAUCCUAGUGCCCGUGCAA